rnacentral:rRNA from 1 species
AUUGAACGCUGGCGGCAGGCCUAACACAUGCAAGUCGAGCGGAUGAAGGGAGCUUGCUCCUGGAUUCAGCGGCGGACGGGUGAGUAAUGCCUAGGAAUCUGCCUGGUAGUGGGGGAUAACGUCCGGAAACGGGCGCUAAUACCGCAUACGUCCUGAGGGAGAAAGUGGGGGUUCUUCGGACCUCACGCUAUCAGAUGAGCCUAGGUCGGAUUAGCUAGCUGGUGGGGUAAAGGCCUACCAAGGCGACGAUCCGUAACUGGUCUGAGAGGAUGAACAGUCACACUGGAACUGAGACACGGUCCAGACUCCUACGGGAGGCAGCAGUGGGGAAUAUUGCACAAUGGGCGAAAGCCUGAUACAGCCAUGCCGCGUGUAUGAAGAAGGUCUUCGGAUUGUAAAGCACUUUAAGUUGGGAGGAAGGGAAGUAAGUUAAUACCUUGAUGUAUUGACGUUACCAGCAGAAUAAGCACCGGCUAACUCCGUG